AUGAUUAUGACGGAAUUGGUAGACGUGCUUAACUUAGGAUUAAGUUUUUAUUGGUUCAAAUCCAGUUAAUCAUA
rfam:Pichia angusta strain DL-1 mitochondrion, complete genome.